CAGAUUUCAAGGUGGUAACUCAACUUACAAGGGAAACUCCUGCGAAUGAUCCUCCUCCGGACAUAAUGACUGAGAACAUCAAGAUGCAUAUGAAAAUACAUUUUGAAGCGCCAGGAGCUCCGAAAGUAGAAUCCCUACAGAACUUGGCAGCAGGGUUGAGCAGAAAAGGAGCAGCUCAGCUCUUCUAUCAGACAUGUGUUCUUGCUUCUCAAGGUUUCUUGAAGGUGAAACAAGGGGUGCCUUUUGGAGACAUUUCCAUCUCGAAAGGACCAAAGAUGUGAGGCAGGUAG